GCGGCCUUUCCCCUCACCGGGGUCGAGCCGCCGCGAGGGAACGGAUCGUAGUCGCUGCGCCUGCUCAGAAGGUAGCGCAGCGGGGAAAGGCGGGAGAGCGUCAACUUCUGAGCCUGCGCGGUGGGAGUUGCUCGAGCAGGUGGUAGCGACUUGGCUUCCGGGCAGCGGGGAAAGGAAAUGCCUCAGGCCAGAAGCAGCAGUGGCAGCCUCUCACCUGCAGCGGGAUCUGUCUCAGCUCCCAUUCCGUCUCCAGAGCCAAAGUUUGGAGGGAACGUGAGCUCGGGUCAGGACACACCAGGACAGCCUCAUCCACCACGCCACAGGCUCCGGACAGGUGCUGCAGCCAUGGAGUUGAAACCCUGACCUACAGAAAAGUCAUCGUUAACAGGAAGCUCGUGAAAGAUUUUUACAUUUCCCUCUCAGCCCAACAGCAGUAUUGCUGCCAGCAUCCCACUGGGGGUCCUAAGUUCAAAGGUUCUUCCAUAGGAAUUCUUCCUGUCCCCUGAAACCCCACCCUCCAACCUCCUGAGAGCCUCCAAAGGUGGAAAAAAUAUCAGAAUUUUCUGGUCACUGGAAAAAUAAACCCAAUAAUUUUAAAUACCUG